AAUCAACGCUGGCGGCGUGCCUAACACAUGCAAGUCGAACGCGAAAGUCCCGGAAGGGAUGAGUAGAGUGGCAAACGGGUGGGUAACGCGUGGGUGACCUGCCUUCGAGCGGGGGAUAACGUCCCGAAGGGAACGCUAAUACCGCUUAACAUCCUGCUUUUCAACAAGUGGAGAUCAAAGCUGGGGAUCGCAAGACCUAGCACUCGAAGAGGGGCCCGCGUCUGAUUAGCUAGUUGGUGAGGUAACGGCUCACCAAGGCGACGAUCAGUAUCCGGCCUGAGAGGGCGGACGGACACACUGGGACUGAGACACGGCCCAGACUCCUACGGGAGCAGCAGUGGGGAAUUGUUCGCAAUGGGCGCAAGCCUGACGACGCAACGCCGCGUGGGGAUGAAGGUC
rnacentral:rRNA from 1 species